CCCUUAGAUGUACUGGGCUGCACGCGCGCUACACUGAUGCACUCAACGAGUUUACGACCUUGCCCGAUAGGGUUGGGUAAUCUUUUUAAAAUGCAUCGUGAUGGGGAUAGAUUAUUGCAAUUAUUAAUCUUCAACGAGGAAUUCCUAGUAAGCGCGAGUCAUCAGCUCGUGCUGAUUACGUCCCUGCCCUUUGUACACACCGCCCGUCGCUCCUACCGAUUGAGUGCUCAGGUGAAUAAUUCGGACUGCAGCAAUGUUUGGAUCCCGAACGUUGCAGCGGAAAGUUUAGUGAACCUUAUCACUUAGAGGAAGGAGAAGUCGUAACA
rnacentral:rRNA from 1 species